UUGAACGCUGGCGGCAGGCCUAACACAUGCAAGUCGAGCGGAUGAAGGGAGCUUGCUCCUGGAUUCAGCGGCGGACGGGUGAGUAAUGCCUAGGAAUCUGCCUGGUAGUGGGGGAUAACGUCCGGAAACGGGCGCUAAUACCGCAUACGUCCUGAGGGAGAAAGUGGGGGAUCUUCGGACCUCACGCUAUCAGAUGAGCCUAGGUCGGAUUAGCUAGUUGGUGGGGUAAAGGCCUACCAAGGCGACGAUCCGUAACUGGUCUGAGAGGAUGAUCAGUCACACUGGAACUGAGACACGGUCCAGACUCCUACGGGAGGCAGCAGUGGGGAAUAUUGGACAAUGGGCGAAAGCCUGAUCCAGCCAUGCCGCGCGUGUGAAGAAGGUCUUCGGAUUGUAAAGCACUUUAAGUUGGGAGGAAGGGCAGUAAGUUAAUACCUUGCUGUUUUGACGUUACCAACAGAAUAAGCACCGGCUAACUUCGUG
rnacentral:rRNA from 1 species